rnacentral:rRNA from 1 species
AGGACGAACGCUGGCGGCGUGCUUAACACAUGCAAGUCGAACGAAGCUUGAUGAAUGAUCCUCGGGAUGAUUCAGAUAUGACUUAGUGGCGGACGGGUGAGUAACGCGUGAGGAACCUGCCUUUCAGAGGGGGACAACAUUUGGAAACGAAUGCUAAUACCGCAUAACAUUACCGAGUGGCAUCGCUUGGUAAUCAAAGAUUUAUCGCUGAAAGAUGGCCUCGCGUCCAAUUAGUUAGUUGGCGGGGUAACGGCCCACCAAGACGACGAUUGGUAGCCGGACUGAGAGGUUGAUCGGCCACAUUGGGACUGAGACACGGCCCAGACUCCUACGGGAGGCAGCAGUGGGGAAUAUUGCACAAUGGGCGCAAGCCUGAUUGCAGCAACGCCGCGUGGAGGAAGACGGUUUUCGGAUUGUAAACUCCUGUUCUUAGUGACGAAGAAGUGACGGUAGCUAAGGAGCAAGCCACGGCUAACUACGUGCCAGCCGCCGC